rfam:Synergistales bacterium 58_81 MPJ_scaffold_3146, whole genome shotgun sequence.
CAGGCCCUGCGGUGUUCGUGAACAUGGUGAAGAGCCUUGAGCCAACACCCGGUUUGGGGAGACCGGUCUACCCGCCGGCAGUGGCGGCGCCCAGGCGCUACCCGCGCAAAGGCGGGUGAGGUUUCCACCUAGUUAGGAUCGGGUCAAGGCCUUCGUGUCACGGCACUCGCGGGGGUGUC